AAAGUCUAUAGAUAGUAAGCUCCCGAAAAUAAAAGAUCUAGGGAUAGUAUAUGGUGUUGCAUUUAACACUGUACUGUUGCAUUAGUACAGAAAAAUACAUCUCUAGGGGUGAAAGAUCCUCACUUUUAUAGAUAUCUGGACGAAUACAAAAUAAAUUUAGUUUAUAAUAUAAUUACAGUGUGAUAAGAUAGUGUAAUAGGAAUUUGUAAUAUUUAUAUUAAAGCCAUUAAUUAUUACUUAGCGGCAUAAAUCAUUCUAGUAAUACAUCUAAACUCAAAAUUCUAUAAUAAUAUUUAUUCCUGCUUAUACUUUAAAAGUGGAUGUAUAAUGUAUAAAUUAGUAAUAAUAAUAAAUUUAUUGAAGGAACUCGGCAAACAUACUAUACGACUGUUUAACAAAAACAUAGCCAGCAGGUAUUUAAUUGUUGGUGUGACCUGCCCAGUGACUAAAUUUAACGGCCGCAGUACCCUGACUGUGCAAAGGUAGCAUAAUAACUUGGCUUUUAAUUGAAGUCUGGUAUGAAAGGAAAAACGUAUAGUUACUGUCUCCACACAUAAUUUAAAUUAAGUUACUUAUAAGGUGAAAAUUCCUUAAUAUUAAACAAUAGACGAGAAGACCCUUAGAAUUUUAAGAAUAACCUAUAGCUUAAAUGGAAUGAUUUUUGUUGGGGCAACACUUUUUCAUAAAAUAAAAAGCUUAAUAAGCAACAUAACGAAUAGGUUUAAUAAAGUAUAAAUUACCUAAGGGAUAACAGCAUAAUUUUAAUUAAAGAUUGUGACCUCGAUGUUGGACUAGGAACUAUUAAGGCUAAUCGUUUUAAUAUAAUAGGUUCUGUUCGAACUUUAUUUCCUA
rnacentral:rRNA from 1 species